rnacentral:tRNA from 1 species
GCGGUGGUCGUCUAGCCUGGUCUAGGACGGCAGCCUGCCACGCUGUCGACCCGGGUUCAAAUCCCGGCCACCGCA